rnacentral:rRNA from 1 species
GACGAACGCUGGCGGCGUGCUUAACACAUGCAAGUCGAACGGAAAGGCCCUUCGGGGUACUCGAGUGGCGAACGGGUGAGUAACACGUGGGUGAUCUGCCCUGCACUUUGGGAUAAGCCUGGGAAACUGGGUCUAAUACCGGAUAGGACUACGGCCUGCAUGGGUUGUGGUGGAAAGCUUUUGCGGUGUGGGAUGGGCCCGCGGCCUAUCAGCUUGUUGGUGGGGUGAUGGCCUACCAAGGCGACGACGGGUAGCCGGCCUGAGAGGGUGACCGGCCACACUGGGACUGAGAUACGGCCCAGACUCCUACGGGAGGCAGCAGUGGGGAAUAUUGCACAAUGGGCGCAAGCCUGAUCCAGCCAUUCCGCGUGCGGGAUGAAGGCCCUCGGGUUGUAAACUGCUUUUGUACGGAACGAAACGGUCCUGGUUAAUACCUGGGGCUAAUGACGGUACCGUAAGAAUAAGCACCGGCUAACUACGUGCCAGCAGCCGCGGUAAU